UAGGGAAUCUUCCGCAAUGGACGCAAGUCUGACGGAGCAACGCCGCGUGAGUGAAGAAGGAUUUCGGUUCGUAAAACUCUGUUGUUAGAGAAGAACAGCGCAUAGAGUAACUGUUAUGCGUGUGACGGUAUCUAACCAGAAAGCCACGGCUAACUACGUGCCAGCAGCCGCGGUAAUACGUAGGUGGCAAGCGUUGUCCGGAUUUAUUGGGCGUAAAGCGAGCGCAGGCGGUUAGAAAAGUCUGAAGUGAAAGGCAGUGGCUCAACCAUUGUAGGCUUUGGAAACUGUUUAACUUGAGUGCAGAAGGGGAGAGUGGAAUUCCAUGUGUAGCGGUGAAACGCGUAGAUAUAUGGAGGAACACCGGUGGCGAAAGCGGCUCUCUGGUCUGUAACUGACGCUGAGGCUCGAAAGCGUGGGGAGCGAACAGG
rnacentral:rRNA from 1 species